rnacentral:rRNA from 1 species
CGGCGGACGGGUUAGUAACGCGUGGGAACGUGCCCUUCACUGCGGAAUAGCCACUGGAAACGGUGAGUAAUACCGCAUACGCCCUUCGGGGGAAAGAUUUAUCGGUGAAGGAUCGGCCCGCGUUAGAUUAGAUAGUUGGUGGGGUAACGGCCUACCAAGUCUACGAUCUAUAGCUGGUUUUAGAGGAUGAUCAGCAACACUGGGACUGAGACACGGCCCAGACUCCUACGGGAGGCAGCAGUGGGGAAUCUUGGACAAUGGGCGCAAGCCUGAUCCAGCCAUGCCGCGUGAGUGAUGAAGGCCUUAGGGUCGUAAAGCUCUUUCGCCAGAGAUGAUAAUGACAGUAUCUGGUAAAGAAACCCCGGCUAACUCCGUGCCAGCAGCCGCGGUAAUACGGAGGGGGUUAGCGUUGUUCGGAAUUACUGGGCGUAAAGCGCACGUAGGCGGAUCAGAAAGUUGGGGGUGAAAUCCCGGGGCUCAACCCCGGAACUGCCUCCAAAACUCCUGGUCUUGAGUUCGAGAGAGGUGAGUGGAAUUCCGAGUGUAGAGGUGAAAUUCGUAGAUAUUCGGAGGAACACCAGUGGCGAAGGCGGCUCACUG